GGCAUUAAUAUGUUCUUAAUUAGCACUAUUACAUGGCUAAUAAUCUAGUAAUAUGCAUUCUAAUAAGCAACUAAUAUCUGUUACCUAUUCUAAAGUAUUACCUAUACUUUAAAUAUGAAACUAAAACUGCCAGCUGAUGGGAAAUCACUGUCCCAAUGAAUAACUGAAUUAUUAAUUCAACCAAUUUGUUCAGAACAGCUGAAUAAUUCAGGAACAAAGCAAGUGAAUGGGCCACUGAAUCACUGACUCAGUUGAUCUGGUCAAAAAAUGCUGAAUUAUUCAGGAACAAAACACUACACAGUGAAUUGGAGAGGUGUAUAUUUAAUUUGGUUUUUAUAACGGAAUAGAGCAAAAACACUUGGUACUGACAUAUUGUGUCUGAAAUGUGUCACUUCAUAGUAACUUAAACAUCGCAUAUUUAAGCAAUUAAUUGUAUGCAAUUGCAUAAAGUGUUACAUAAUGAUUAUCUUAAAAGUAGGACAAAUGGGGGUCCAGCUGAAUGCUGCAAAGGAAGACAGAAAAAGACAGUAAGAAAACGAGAUGAGCUCAGUGAACUAUUCCUCCUUUGGGAAUCAGAUCCAGGACUAGAACUGGAGGAGUUUCUGUAACAGCAUCACACACAACACAACAGUACAGUAUAGUAACAGUAUGGACACAGGAUAGAUCGAGCAGCAGAGAGAAGAGGAACUGAAUGAGAGAGAGAGGCAGAGCUGAUUUAUAGCUGGUCAGCUGUGAUCUGCUCAUUCUGGCCAUCGUGAAGAUGAUCUCACCAACCGUUCUAAGUCCGUCAUCAGACACAGAGGAUGUUUGGUAAUAGUUCAAUCCAAUGUGUUUCCACUGAGCAUUACAUUAAUGUGGAACUGAACAACAACAUAUGGAUCUGGGAGAGUAUUCCUGUUACACACAGUGUUGGGGAGUAACCAGAAAAGGGAGUUACAUAGGAAUAUUUUCACACAAAUAAAGAUUUAACUUACUUCUUUCACAAAUUGUACUGACUGCGGUUGCACUUUAUUUUACAGUAUGUGUACUUACAGUGUAUUUAUCUAAGAAAGUUCUGGUAACACAAGGUAACUACAUGGGGUAAGGUUAGGUUUAGGGGUAGGUUCAGGGUAAGUAGGCUACUUAGUUAUUACAUAGUUAUUGUAAUUAAUAUAAUAAGUUCAUAAUAUGUACAUGAAGAACAGGACUGUAAAAUAAAAUGCUACCCUGACCGCUUUAAAAUAUGAGACACCAGUGUUUCAAGAGUUCAGGUCACAUGCUUAUUCCAUUACUCCUUUAUUUCAUAUUUGUGUUUUAUGUGCUUUAUUUGUUUCCGAUUAACUGUUUUUAUCCAAGGCAUUAUUAGUUACCAGGGUUUCCAGCUAUGCAAAAAUUUGAUUA
rnacentral:lncRNA from 1 species